CGGCGGCAGCGCGUCCUCGGUCCCCAGGACCACGGCUUCUUUCCUGCCAGAGCGACUCUACCUUGGAAACCAGGGAUUCCCCUUCCCGUCGCCCGCCCCAUUUGAUAUAUGGGCCUGAAAUGUAUGCCAUCCCAUCACCAUCGGACUGGACUGUUCACAGCACUGGAGAGACAGAGGUCCUUCAUUCACUCCAGGUCACAGGCUGUGCGUGUGCAUGCCGAACACCCACAUGCACACAGUUGGUGGCUCAGUCUGAUGUACCUGACUUCUCACGCCUUCCCCCAGUCCUCCAGUACCGUGCCUCUACAUGGGCUGGGCAGCCCCAAACUGAAAUGUGAGUGCCAGAGUGCAUCCUUUAAGCGAGGUCUGCCCCACGGACACCCGCUCCCUCUGUGUCCCUGCUUUGACAGAUCUAUCCAUCUGGCCAUCCAUCCGUGGGGGUCUGCAAUGGCCACCUUUAGCCGCCAGGAAUUUUUCCAGCAGCUACUACAAGGCUGUCUCCUGCCUACUGCCCAGCAGGGCCUUGACCAGAUCUGGCUGCUCCUUGCCAUCUGCCUCGCCUGCCGCCUCCUCUGGAGGCUCGGGUUGCCAUCCUACCUGAAGCAUGCAAGCACCGUGGCAGGCGGGUUCUUCAGCCUCUACCACUUCUUCCAGCUGCACAUGGUUUGGGUCGUGCUGCUCAGCCUCCUGUGCUACCUCGUGCUGUUCCUCUGCCGACAUUCCUCCCAUCGAGGCGUCUUCCUAUCCGUCACCAUCCUCAUCUACUUACUCAUGGGUGAGAUGCACAUGGUAGACACCGUGACAUGGCACAAGAUGCGAGGUAGGUAGCCCUGCCCCUCUCACCUGCCCAACCCCCCUGCCCCACUCCUCGUCUCCUAACUGCCCCCACCCUGUGCCUUUCCUCCCCUGCUUUUCUCCCUCACCUGCCCACCCCACUGGACGUGCAGACCUCACAUUACUCUCGGGUCCGUGUCUCUUUCCACCGUGCAUUUUCCCGAAGUCUGUCUGUCUCGUGUCAUGUAUGUGCCUGACUCUCUGGAGUAAGGGCAUCUAUCUGUCCUGGGCUUCCUUGCCCACCUGCCUAUCUGUCCCAUGCCCACCUAUCCAUCCUUGUGCCCGCUUUUCCUACCACAUCUCACCUGGUGCACCUCCUCCUUGCCAUGCUGAUCUGCUCUCUGCCCAUCCACUUG
rnacentral:lncRNA from 1 species